rnacentral:rRNA from 1 species
GGCGAACGGGUGAGUAAUACAUCGGAACGUGCCCGGUAGUGGGGGAUAGCCCGGCGAAAGCCGGAUUAAUACCGCAUACGACCUACGGGUGAAAGCGGGGGACCGCAAGGCCUCGCGCUAUCGGAGCGGCCGAUGUCGGAUUAGCUUGUUGGUAGGGUAAAGGCCUACCAAGGCGACGAUCCGUAGCUGGUCUGAGAGGACGACCAGCCACACUGGGACUGAGACACGGCCCAGACUCCUACGGGAGGCAGCAGUGGGGAAUUUUGGACAAUGGGCGCAAGCCUGAUCCAGCCAUGCCGCGUGCGGGAAGAAGGCCCUCGGGUUGUAAACCGCUUUUGUCAGGGAAGAAACGCUUCGGGCUAAUACCUCGGAGUAAUGACGGUACCUGAA